rfam:Oscillatoria acuminata PCC 6304, complete genome.
GUCUCAAUAACCUCUAAUCCCUAUCAGGGAUUGAAAC